UACGUAGGCAGCAAGCGUUGUUCGGAGUUACUGGGCGUAAAGGGUGCGUAGGCGGCGCGGUAAGUCGGGUGUGAAAUCUCGGAGCUUAACUCCGAAACUGCAUUCGAUACUGCCGUGCUUGAGGACUGGAGAGGAGACUGGAAUUUACGGUGUAGCGGUGAAAUGCGUAGAUAUCGUAAGGAAGACCAGUGGCGAAGGCGGGUCUCUGGACAGUUCCUGACGCUGAGGCGCGAAAGCGUGGGUAGCAAACAGG
rnacentral:rRNA from 1 species